rnacentral:lncRNA from 1 species
CGAGGCGAGCGCUCUCAUAUGAUCGGAUCGGUGGAUCCAAUCGGACCCCGCAGCCCAACCCCGACCGUCCCGCUCGCCUUGGCCGAUGACCACGUCCCUCCAAAACGGCGGCGAUGAUGGAGGGAUCCGCCAGCGUCGGCCAGGCUCCCAACCCAUGGACUCGCCGGGUCGCCGCUCCUCGGGGCCAGCCCCUCUCGCCGCGCCUGCUCGGGGACCCCUCGGGGAUGCCGCCGGUGCGGUGGGACGUCCGCGGCGGCGCCGGCUGGGCACCGAGCGGCGGGUCCCNGGGAUCUGAGCUGCCGUCGAUCUGAGCCGCCGGCGCUUGGCUGCAUGUUGCUCUGGAUCCGGUACGAUCCCCAUCUCUUUCUCUCCGAGGCUCACGCACACACUCGCUCGCUCACUCUGUUUGUGCGCGCAGUUCACGCCAACGAACCCAAUCCCUAAGCCGAAUCAGGCGAGCUCUCGUUGCCGGAUAGCUGGCCAAUCGUCCGGUUGGUCGCCGCGUCAGUUCCGCACCGCUGUGGUGCUGCCAGCCACCGCAGCUCCAUUGCCUUGGAUUCGGGUGUGCUGUGGGCUGGGAACCAUAGUACGGUGUUUGUCUGACGCGUCGUCUGCACCGAGAGGUUUGGUCGGUCGN